rnacentral:rRNA from 1 species
AUUGAACGCUGGCGGCAUGCCUUACACAUGCAAGUCGAACGGCAGCACGGGGCAACCUGGUGGCGAGUGGCGAACGGGUGAGUAAUGCAUCGGAACGUACCUUUCAGUGGGGGAUAACGUAGCGAAAGUUACGCUAAUACCGCAUAUUCUGUGAGCAGGAAAGCAGGGGAUCGCAAGACCUUGCGCUGAUUGAGCGGCCGAUGUCAGAUUAGCUAGUUGGUGAGGUAAAGGCUCACCAAGGCGACGAUCUGUAGCGGGUCUGAGAGGAUGAUCCGCCACACUGGGGCUGAGACACGGUCCAGACUCCUACGGGAGGCAGCAGUGGGGAAUUUUGGACAAUGGGCGCAAGCCUGAUCCAGCCAUGCCGCGUGCGGGAAGAAGGCCUUCGGGUUGUAAACCGCUUUUGUCAGGGAAGAAAUCCUUUGGGUUAAUACCUCGGGGGGAUGACGGUACCUGAAGAAUAAGCACCGGCUAACUACGUGCCAGCAGCCGCAGUAACAC